rnacentral:rRNA from 1 species
AUGCGCUCGUCCAUCUACGCUUUGCCGCCGUCGUCCUACUCCUCCUACCUUGAGACCAGCCCGCGCCCCAAGCCGUACAUCACCGUUGCCACAAGGGCUGCGGGAAAGGAGAACCUCCACUUCCAUGACGCUGACGACGAGGCUCCUUUUGACCUCACCGACGCGAGCACGGACGACUGGGCAGCGGUGGUGGCGCCGACCAGCCAGCUGUUCGAGAGGAGCAGGCUCUACGACCUCUACUCCGCGGGGCGCAACGAGCGGCUCAAGCGCAAGCAUGGCUCGUACGCCGCCGGCGAGGAGGAGGCGGAGGCCAUGGCCAAGGGCCCUUGCGUGGCCGUGGAGCUGUCCAAGUGGCGGGGCGCCAAGAAGGCCGGGGCCCCCGAGCCCCUGCUGAGGAGGUCGAUGCCGGCAGUAGCAGCAGCAAAGUUCUCGCAGAGCAACAGGGCCAGCGGUGGCCUGAGCGCCAUGAGGUCCUAG